rnacentral:rRNA from 1 species
GAUGAACGCUGGCGGCGUGCCUAAUACAUGCAAGUCGAGCGAACAGACGAGGAGCUUGCUCCUCUGACGUUAGCGGCGGACGGGUGAGUAACACGUGGAUAACCUACCUAUAAGACUGGGAUAACUUCGGGAAACCGGAGCUAAUACCGGAUAAUAUAUUGAACCGCAUGGUUCAAUAGUGAAAGACGGUUUUGCUGUCACUUAUAGAUGGAUCCGCGCCGCAUUAGCUAGUUGGUAAGGAAACGGCUUACCAAGGCGACGAUGCGUAGCCGACCUGAGAGGGUGAGCGGCCACACUGGAACUGAGACACGGUCCAGACUCCUACGGGAGGCAGCAGUAGGGAAUCUUCCGCAAUGGGCGAAAGCCUGACGGAGCAACGCCGCGUGAGUGAUGAAGGUCUUCGGAUCGUAAAACUCUGUUAUUAGGGAAGAACAAAUGUGUAAGUAACUAUGCACGUCUUGACGGUACCUAAUCAGAAAGCCACGGCUAACUACGUG